rnacentral:tRNA from 1 species
CAUUAAGUGGCUGAAAGCAAGCAAUGAUCUCUUAAAUCAUACUAUAAUAAAUUAGCAAUUAUUCUUAAUGA